CUCCCACGAUUUAGACCCAUUCUUGGUUUUGUGGGACACCCUCUUAGGUGGCCCAGCAGUCCAUUUGUACAUAAUCCUGGCUCUAAAGCCCUCCAGUGCUUCCCCAUUGGCCACAGGAUAAAGUUUAAACCCUUUGAUGUGUCCGGGCUCUGUCCUGACUCCCUUGACUGUUAACCUUCUCCCAGCCAGGUCAGCAGACUACCCAGGGGAUAAGGUUGGCCUGCAGCCUGACUUUGUACUGUCCCCAAGGAAAGAAUGGAGGCUGUUUGAUGAGCAAUGAUGCCCAGUGCCCAUUGUAGGUGCCUACGAAUUGGCAGUUUGGAGAAGACUGUUCAUUCCAAGUGUGGGAGCUUCUGUAUCCUGCCACACACUCUGUGGACUUCGGCGGCCAGCACUUCUACAACAGAGCACCAAGAAUCUUUU
ensembl:lncRNA